UACGUAAGGUGCAAGCGUUGUCCGGAAUUAUUGGGCGUAAAGAGCUCGUAGGCGGUUUGUCGCGUCUGCUGUGAAAACCCGAGGCUCAACCUCGGGCCUGCAGUGGGUACGGGCAGACUAGAGUGCGGUAGGGGAGAUUGGAAUUCCUGGUGUAGCGGUGGAAUGCGCAGAUAUCAGGAGGAACACCAAUGGCGAAGGCAGAUCUCUGGGCCGUAACUGACGCUGAGGAGCGGAAGCAUGGGGAGCGAACAGG
rnacentral:rRNA from 1 species